AUGGCUGGUCUGGGCCUUUCCCUCAGCUCUGCUCAGAAGUUGGGGGUGGGACAUGGGUCCGAAGAAACCCCAGGGUGGAUGGCGGCGGGGCAGGCAGGAGUGAGCGCCUGCUUCUGCAGGAGCCCCAGGCAAGGCGGCAGAGGUCCACGCACCCGGGCAUUGCGUGCUGAGUCACUUACUCGUGUCCAACUCUCUGUGACCCCAUGGACUGGCCAGGCUCCUCUGUCCACUCUCUCCUGGAGCUUGCUCAGACUCAUGUCCAUCCAGUCAGUGAUGCCAUCCAACCAUCUCAUCCUUUGUCACCCCCUUCUCCUCCCGCCCUCAGUCUUUCCCAGCAUCAGGGUCUUCUCCAGUGAGUCAGCUCUUUGCAUCAGGUGGCCAAAGUAUUGGAGCUUCAGGAUCAGUCCUUCCAAUGAAUAUUCAAGGUUGAAUUCCUUUAAGAUUGACUGGUUUGAUCUCCUUGCAUCCAAGGAUGUUAGCUUUCCUUUAAGAAGUGGGGACAGGCAGCCAUCCUGUGUGAACACAGCGACCCAGAGGGGGAGGUGGGCGGCCGGGCCUCUGAGUCGUCACCCAGGCCCGUGGGGUCCGGCUCUCAGGACAGUGAGUGAGGUCCCCCCUCGGUCUCCCCGCUCUGCCUCUCCUGCUGCUGCUUCUGAGUGGAAUCGCCGCCCCCCAGCCUGGCCGAUGCCUCGUGCCUCCUUGGGUCAGGGUUCCCUUCCCUCCUCUGCCCAGUGGCCCGUGACCUUCAGGGCUUCAGCUGCUCUUCCGUUCCAUGGAAUUCUCCAGGCCAGAAUACUGGAAAGGGUAGACUUUUCCUUCUACAGGGGAUCUUCCCAAUCCAGGGAUUGAAUCCAGGUCUCCUGCAUUGCAGGCAGAUUCCUUACCAGCACCUUCUUUUUAUUCCAGCUUCUGAUAUAAUUUCAAUUUACUAAAUUUGUUGGCAGAAUCUUAAAAAUGUAACCACGUCUUACUUGUUACCAUAUCUAUGUCUAUCUCAUGCCACAUGUCUCUUACUUGGCUAUUUAAGGGCUGGUUUGGCACAGUCUUGAGCCACUUGAACCUCCAUUUCCUCGUCUGUAAAAAGGAAGCAGUAAUUCAUAGUUACCUUGUGCAACAUUGUGACGUGAAAGUUACUCAGUCGUGUCUGACUCUUCGCAGCCAGAAUACUGGAGUGGGUUGUCAUGCCGCAUUGUGAAGUGAAAGUUACUCAGUCGUGUCUGACUCUUCGCAGCCAGAAUACUGGAGUGGGUUGUCAUGCCACCCUCCAGGGGAUCUUCCCAACCCAGGAGUCGACCUGGGGUCUCCUGCGUGGCAGGCAGGUCCUGUACCGACUGAGCUGCCGUUGCAGUGGCUGAGAAGCUCCGCGGCUGUCACAUAUGAAGGGCCCUGCAACGUUGCUUCCUUUUACUGGGCUUUUCCUUCUCUGGCUUUUUUGGAGGUGUGUGCAUGCUCCUUUUGUGACUAUUGCCAGAGAGGCUUUAGGGGCAGAUGUUCAGCAGACGUCCCGUCUCUGCGUAAAGAUGUUGUUAUUCAUGGGUGUACCGUUAAGAAUUUCGUGCAGCUGUGAACAGUAGAAAAUCUCAAAUAACAGCAGAUUAAAUAAGAGCACUUGUUUCCUUUCCACGUGAACCGAAUACAGAGCGGGUAGGCAGGGUUUAUGGAGCAUUUCUACAGAACAAGGUCUCUCUGCUGUGCUGUCCGAGCCCAUGGCUGCCGUGCAUAGUCCCCUCGGCCCCAGAAUGGCUGCUGAAGCUCCAGCCCUCGGGUUGGUGUUCCAUGCCACCCAAAGGGCAAAAAGGGCACCUCUCUUUAAGCAGCUCUUCAGGAAGUCCAUGUAACCCUUCGCCUGUAUCUAAUUUGUCUCAUGACCACACUAAUGCUGGGAAAGUGUUUCCUUCAGUGUGGAUCUCAGUGUGCCCAGCUAAAAUGGGGACUCUGUGAUGAAGGCGGGAAGAAGCUGGUGUUCAGCUGGUAACCGGCGUUGUCUGGUGUCUGUAGUCAUGGGAUUAUGGUCUCCAGGGCACUGGGGUCAGAGGGGCUGGUCUGGGAAGUGAGCCGUGUGUGGAGCCCUGUUUCCAGGUAUAAACAUCCUGCUUCAGAACAACAGCCUUGCGUGUGGUUUUUCAAACAGCCCGUGCUUAAGUGUAGAGCCACCUGUGAAUGAGGCACAGCAGCCGCUUCCGUCCACCUCCGUGGCUCACACCCAGGCUGGGCCGGAGCCGCCGCAAGCACAGCGCCUCUGCCCGCAGCCACCAGAGCCCGUCCCCACGUUGAUGGAGACCACUGGCUGGAGGUUGCACGUUAAAGACACGUUUGCUCUGAGCCAUCGUCACACAGUUAAUUAACUAAUUAGUUGCAACUGUGGUAAAACCCUGUUGCUGGGGAAAAUUGAAGGCAGGAGAAGGGGACAGCAGAGGAUGAGAUGGUUGGAUGGCAUCAUUGACUCAAUGGACAUGAAUUUGAGCAAGCUCCGGGAGAUAGUGAGGGGCAGGGAAGCCUGGCGUGCUGCAGUCCAUGGGGUCACAAAGAGUUGGACGUGACUUAGCGAGUAAACACCACCAACAGCAACGAGUGAUAUAAGCUUGUAUUCCAGAGAGAUCGAUCUGGAGAAGAGCCAAGUGGCUGGUAGUUUAGGCAGGAGCGGGGCGGGGGUUGGGGGGUUGUGAAGGGUCUCUCAGGGCCCGAGGAAGUAACCAGGGGCUUUGAAGGGAGGACCACAGUCAGCCUCAGUCCAGGAGCAGGAAUUCCAGCCUCCCUGCAGCUGGCUGGGGGCUCGAGUGAGACGGGGACACAGGCCUGCACAGCUUAUGAUAUAAAACAUUUUUUGAAUUAAGUUUCCUCAUUUAUCAUUCUGAUUAACACAGAACAUUUAUAAACCACAGCCUCUGGAAAAGUGGCACAAAAUGCAUUACACCGUGUUCCCCUCAGCCUCUUCCUGAUGAAAUAUACGAGGAGCCCGAGAUCAAAGGCACAGACGUCCAGGCGCCGUCUCAUCUCAGGGCCUGAUGGGGCGGGGCCGCCCCGCCCCCGCCCCUGCCUGUCAGCCUGCCUGGUGUGGGCUUGCUUCCUCCUGUGCACAUCUGGUCCUCGGGUCUGUUCCUCUCCCGGCUCCUGGGCUGGCUCCGAGGCCCGUCUUUGUUCUUCAGAAGGGCUUGGUCCAUCUGUCACCAGAAGCCUCAUGUCAUUAUCUGACUUACACCAGCGUUGCCGAUGUCCCCGGGGCGGGCUGGGGGGUUACAGGAUCAUGGAGAUCAGAACAGCAGAAAUGAUGGUGAACCGGGGGACAGGCCAAGGUUUGUCCCUAAGGCGCCUGUUGCCUCCGUUUGGGUGACUUAUGCGUGGAUUGGCCUGGAGCUGCCAGCACAGGCCGUCUGCCUCCAGCUUCCAAAAAGUGCAGCGGAGGUGUUAGUCACUCAGCCGUGCAACCCUCGGGACUGCAGCCAGGUUCCUCUGUCCGUGGACCUCUCCAGGCGAGAGUACUGGAGUGGGUAGCCAUUGCGUUCUCCAUUCCAUUGUAAUUCACACACAUGAUCUGAUCCUGCACUGCCAGGUGGAUUCUGUAGCAUCGAGCCGCCAGGGAAGCUCACUUUCUGGACACUGCGUGUCCGCUUCCCUCGAGGACAUGGGCUGAGCUGGUGACAGCACCCCCACUGACCAGCUGAGAGAGGGCACAGCUGGAGAGACCAGAGCCGACGCUGCAGCUGUGGGCGCUUCCUGCCUCUUCCCUGCGCCCCUUCGGUCCAUCGGUCCAUCAUCUUGACUCUGUCUUAUUUCUAGAACCUUAUUUCUAGACUCUCCCUCAGAAAUGGGCAAGGAAGGGAAGCCGUAUGCGUGAAGCUGGUCCCGUGGAGCACAGUUAGCCCCACUAUCACACACCUUUGCCUCGGGGGCUGAGAAAGGAAGGCUUAUGGGUUUAAAAAGCCCUCCAGUCUCGGCAGUUUUCCAGGACACGUAUUCGGAGUCGGUCGGAGGACGGAGGGUGGGAGAGUGGCUUUGCAGAAUGGCUGGCGUGCUUCUCAGCAAGGUGGCCGCAGCCGGGCGCCUCUGACGAAGGCUGCACGGUGGACGCCAGAUCAGGGUGAUGCAGAGGAACAGACGGUGCUCCCUCCAGCUCACUGCCGCCCCAGCCCGCNNNNNNNNNNNNNNNNNNNNNNNNNNNNNNNNNNNNNNNNNNNNNNNNNNNNNNNNNNNNNNNNNNNNNNNNNNNNNNNNNNNNNNNNNNNNNNNNNNNNCGACUCCGCGGGCAGCACCCCUCCGGGGGCGAAAGGCGGCCGCAAGCAGGCCUGGCGGUUCUCCCUUUCCCCGGGGGGAAGGGACGGGUGAAUGCCUGGCACUUUCACAUGGCCUGUGAAAUAGGCCAUUCUCCCCAUGGGAAGUCUAGAAAUACCCAUUAAGGCUGGUUUGUAUAUGCAGCACAGGGUGUAACACAGCCCUCAAAUGAGUAUCAUUAUCUUCAUCUGUGAACUGAGAGCCCUCUGGGGAUGGCCUGCCAGCCAGGUCCUCCAGCCUUGGGCGUGGGCAGAGCCCAGCCCUCCUCUCCCCUGCUCGGCCUCUCCCCGCAAAACCUCACUGAGCAGAGGUUCUAAGACGUGUUCAGAGGCCCUGUGAAACCUUGAGAAGGGAAGGAAGGAACUCGGGAGUGAAGCCACCCGUAAGAUGCGGAUUUUUCUUGACCCUUUCCUAAGCCCAUUCUCAUGAAGUGAUGGGACCAGAUGCCAUGAUCUUCGUUUUCUGAAUGUUGAGCUUUAAGCCAACUUUUUCACGCUCCUCUUUCACUUUCAUCAAGAGGCUUUUUAGUUCCUCUUCACUUUCUGCCAAAGGGGGUGUCCUCUUCAAUCCUUG
rnacentral:lncRNA from 1 species